GGGGGUGUAGCUCAGUUGGGAGAGCGAUACAAUCGCACUGUAUAGGUCAGGAGUUCGAGCCUCCUCACCUCCA
rnacentral:tRNA from 1 species